rnacentral:rRNA from 1 species
GGCGAACGGGUGAGUAAUACGUGAGUGACCUACCUUUGACUCUGGGAUAAGCCUGGGAAAUUGGGUCUAAUACCGGAUACGACCAAUCUCCGCAUGGGGUGUUGGUGGAAAGCGUUAUGGAGUGGUUUUAGAUGGGCUCACGGCCUAUCAGCUUGUUGGUGAGGUAAUGGCUUACCAAGGCGACGACGGGUAGCCGGCCUGAGAGGGUGACCGGCCACACUGGGACUGAGACACGGCCCAG